CAGCCGUAAACUAUGCGCGUUAGGUGUACUGGUGACCACGAGUCACCGGGGUGCCGAAGGGAAACCGUGAAACGUGCCGCCUGGGAAGUACGGUCGCAAGGCUGAAACUUAAAGGAAUUGGCGGGGGAGCACCACAACAGGUGGAGCCUGCGGUUUAAUUGGACUCAACGCCGGGAAGCUCACCGGAUAGGACAGCAGAAUGAUUGCCGGGCUGAAGACCCUGCAUGACUAGCUGAGAGGAGGUGCAUGGCGUCAGUGACUU
rnacentral:rRNA from 1 species